rnacentral:rRNA from 1 species
GACGUAGGGCGCGAGCGUUGUCCGGAUUUAUUGGGCGUAAAGAGCUCGUAGGCGGCUUGUUGCGUCGAUCGUGAAAACUUGGGGCUUAACCCUAAGCUUGCGGUUGAUACGGGCAGACUAGAGUGUGGUAGGGGAGAUCGGAAUUCCUGGUGUAGCGGUGAAAUGCGCAGAUAUCAGGAGGAACACCGGUGGCGAAGGCGGAUCUCUGGGCCAUUACUGACGCUGAGGAGCGAAAGCGUGGGGAGCGAACAGG